GGUACACAUGCUUUUUAGAUAAGAUCUUAUCUCUGAGUUAGAGUAAACUGUCAAGACUUAAAACUUACUUACUUUACCUUUCACCAUGGGACUUGUAACUGUCACUUCUUUCUUGAGAGGUUAAAAGAUAGAACAGUCUAGUCAAGUGCCAUGUCUCUUAUUCUUGAUCAGCUAUAGCUCUGGGGUUUUUUUGCAGAUUUUCAAAUAAAACUCAGAGAUUCCUUGUAUGACUCUCUCAGAUCUCUCUUUUAUGGUAUUUCUGGAUCCUUACCAAGGCAGUGAUGGUAUAUGCCUUCUCUCAAGAUAUGUGGUAUUUAUGGUAUAAGGCAUAGUGACAUUGCCUUCUCUCUCACCCUACUCUAAUAAGGCUUUAAUAUCUGGAGCUCAUAGGUGGGAGAUAAAAUAUACAUACUUACAAGACAUUUAUUGCAUAGUCAAACCAUGGAUCCAAAGAAACAAAUCAAUAAGCCAAAUCAAGAUGUGCAUGUGUGGCGAAUGAAUGGUGAUUACAAUGGUGAAAACAAUGAUGGAAACAAUGGUGGUGGAAGUCUAAUUCUACUUCUUUUGAGGGGAUACAUACCUUCCUUGCUUUUUGAAACUUUAUGAAGAGAAUGAGAUGCUCUAUAUUUUUCUUUUCUCUCAGGUGGGUAUCUUGUACCCCUAAUUCUACUGUCGGACACUUGUCCAUUUUUACCUCUCGUCUCACUUUUUCUUUUCUUUCGAGGUUCCGAGCACUUGCUCCUUUUUAUUUCCUCGUAUUUUUCUUUUUUUUCUUUUCUCUCUUUUUUUUAGAGCACUCAUCUCUUGAGAUAAUAUAGCAAGUGGUAGUAACAAGAUAACUUGAGCAUUUAUUUCACAAGGAAGAACAAAAUUAUUUUUGGCUACUCUCUCCCGGAUUGGAAGUAGAAUAUUUUUGGGUGAUUCUGGAGAUGGAAAUGUAUGGAUAUAUGUGAAUGGUACUUCUGGAGUAGAAGUAGCAUGUGUGAGUGAACGUGCAAGUGAAUCUUGAUUUAACCACAUGACAAGCUCCCAAGGGUCUACACAGCUUGACCACACUCAAUGCUCAUAAGCAGUAAAAAGUAAAUGUGUGACUCGAAGUCUAGCAAGCAUGUAUAUAUGGCUGUGGUAGGAUUUUAAACUCUCAUCAUACAGGAACUCAUCAUGCAACAUUUUAAAGAUUUCCAAAGAUAAAAUUCUCCAGAAUUCUAGCAUCUCUAGAAACAGAUAAACAGCAACUCAACCUUCCCAUAUCGUAUCCGUUAACAACUUAGAUUUCAGAUCAAGUUUUCAUCCCACAAGUUUAAGUCUAGAGCAAGCUUUAAAUUAUAAUAGUUAUGUCUAAACUUGAGAGAGAACUUAAAAUGUGCAAAUUAGGCAGAGCAACUAUUCAUCAUUUCCAUGCUUGAGUUUUAUUUAGAUACAGAUUAGCAUAGCCACUUUAUUUAUCUAUUAAACACACUAAGCAAAAGACAUAUAUAUAUAAGCAUAAAAUCUUUAUUUAGUUUUUCAUAGUUAUGUAUAUUUAUAUUCUAAAAUAAUAUAAGUAUAAAGAUAGAUAGAUAGAAAUACUUAUCGAGAUAAAUGGGGGUGCUCUCCCCCAAGCUGAAUUUUGACGUAAUUUCUCUUGAUGUAGCUAGCAGGUUGCAGAGGUGUAUUUGAAAGUCAGCAGCAUUGUGACAGCGAUUAGAAUAUCCUCCGUCUGCCAGUCUUCUUGAUUCUUAGAUUCUGUGGAGCUCAAAUAGACAACAAAGCUUGUGGAACUGAUGAAGUGUUAGCAUAAAUAUCUAGCCUUUAUCAUGUUGAGACUCUUUAAUAAUUAUUACUCCCUGUUUUUAUAUUUUUAUUUUAUAAAGCAGAAAAAUAUUUUUAUUUUAUUUUUAUGCCACCACAGUGAAUGUACUUAUGGGUUUUAUGCCACUCGUAUCCUCACAUGGGGCUUACUGUUUUUCAUAUUUUUACUUUCUGUUUAGAACUUAAUUAACUAAGUGAACUACUUGAAAUAAUUAAAAGGGAAAGGAUAACUACCAAGUUUACCUCUUGGCAAGGCGUUCGGUGUUUUUAAGUCCUCCGAACGGGACUCUCCUCCUUCUCAAUUAUCCUGAGGUUCGUUGGGUGGCGUAGUCGGUACUUCCGGCAGCGCCUCCUCUUCAUGUAUAGUUAUCUUCAUUUUCCACACCUGACUUGGUGCUUCGGUCUCCUCUAGAUAAUUCUGUUUAAACUCAACGUCUUCUGACCUUACAACUUCUCCUUCGUAGUCUGCCCAUCCGUCCUUGAUGAUUUGCCUUCUCUGGUUGCGGUUGCGUCGUCUUCUUCUUGUCCUGACCUGCUUAGAAUCUUCAACUAUAUAGUUAGAAUCAUUAAAUUAAUGGCGUACCUUCUCAGAGGGGAAAUACACGUGGACUUCUCCGGUUCCAAUGUAGAUGAUAACUUUGAUAGUGUUGAGGAAUGGUCUUCCAAGGAUGAUGGGUGGAUCGUACUCGUCUUUUCCCAUGUCAAUGUUCUGAAAAUCAUCUGGAGCUAAAUAUAUAUUGGUUGUAGGGGCAUGGUUCCAUGCAGGAGCUGAUAAGUGACUGCAGCCAUUAUGUUGACGUUAGAUCCGGUGUCGUAGAGUGUUUUCUAAAAAGAGUAUCUGUUGGUUGUGCACUCGAUGCUUGGAACACCAGGGUCGUCCUUCUUGAUCAAGAAAGGUGACUUGAGUCGACGAUCUUGACCUCCUUGAGCUGUAGUGACCAUCUUAGCUGACUCGGUCCACAUUUGCUUGUUCCUGUUCCUCCUGUUGGUCCUCUUCCUUGGUUCAUGUCGGGAUUGCUCUGAAGUUUAUGUAGUCUUGUUCUUGAAGGAAAGUCUCCUUCUUCCCCUUGAUGUAGAGACUGAUCUUGGCAGCAUUAGCGUAGAUGACAGCUCCAGUGUUUAGGAAUGGCCUCCCUAAGAUGAUGGGUGCCCUCUCCUCAGUACCAGUCUCUAUCACCACAAAGUUUGCUGGAGCGUACAAGGUACCAACUUGGACACAGAGGUUCUUUAAUAUUUCCUUUGGGAAACUAAGUGUCUGAUCUCCAUUGUGUUUGUGCUCGUAGAUCCCGGUUCUUCACUUAAUGGAAUCUGGGAGUUGUAAAACGCCUUCACGUUUCUCAAAAUGUGUCCUGCUCAUAGAGACAAGGCAGAGAUCAAGUGCAUGGGCUAUGUUGGUGGAAAACACCAACAGAACCAAAAGUGUAUUUGUUCUUCUCUAACCUUAAGCAUAGUGAGCAAGACAAAGUUGAUGGAUAAUAAGAUCAUGAGUGUAGUAUUUGAAACAUUUGUCAGAUCAGAUGGCUCAACCUAAUGGAAAGAUAAUCUAUCUAUAUUUAUGUUUUGUUUAUCUCUUCCAAAUAUUGAAUGUGC
rnacentral:lncRNA from 1 species